rnacentral:rRNA from 1 species
UACAGAGGUCUCAAGCGUUGUUCGGAUUCAUUGGGCGUAAAGGGUGCGUAGGCGGCGCGGUAAGUCGGGUGUAAAAUCUUGGAGCUUAACUCCGAAACUGCAUUCGAUACUGCCGUGCUUGAGGACUGGAGAGGAGACUGGAAUUUACGGUGUAGCGGUGAAAUGCGUAGAUAUCGUAAGGAAGACCAGUGGCGAAGGCGGGUCUCUGGACAGUUCCUGACGCUGAGGCACGAAGGCCAGGGGAGCAAACGGGG